UACGGAGGGGGCUAGCGUUGUUCGGAAUCACUGGGCGUAAAGCGCACGUAGGCGGCGCGUUAAGUCAGGGGUGAAAUCCUGGAGCUCAACUCCAGAACUGCCCUUGAUACUGGCGUGCUCGAGUGUGGGAGAGGUUGGUGGAACUCCGAGUGUAGAGGGGAAGUUCGUAGAUAUUCGGAAGAACACCAGUGGCGAAGGCGGCCAACUGGCCCAUUACUGACGCUGAGGUGCGAAAGCGUGGGGAGCAAACAGG
rnacentral:rRNA from 1 species